rnacentral:tRNA from 1 species
GCCUUCGAAGCUCACCAGGUAUGAGCGCUCCCUCGGUAAGGGAGAGGUUGCCGGUUCGAGUCCGGCCGGAGGCU